AUGGUGACUGGUGAUUUCAACCUAAUCAAGAAGGCUGAUGAAAAGAGCAAUGGUAAUAUCAAUUUGCAAAUGAUGGGCCGAUUCAGAUCUGCUUUGGAUCAACUUGAGCUGCUGGAAUUCCCCUUGCUUGGGAGAAAGUUCACUUGGUCAAACGAAAGGGAAAACGUCACGUUGACCAAGAUUGAUAGAGUGCUGGUUACUAAAGCCUGGGAACUGAAAUUUCCAAAUUAUCAGCUCACUCCAGCCUCGACAUCCAUCUCUGACCACUGCCCGCUGGUUCUCAAGCCAAUGGAUCUGCAACACUUCAAAGGUUUCCGCUUUGAAUCCUUUUGGCUUGCAAAGCCUGAUUUCCUUGAGGUGGUGACCGAGGCUUGGGAGAAACUUGUUCAAUCUGCAGACCCUUGCAGAAAGCUCCACACCAAAUUGUCCAGAACUGCCAAAGCGCUAACCAAAUGGAAUAGAAAGGCUUCCAAAAGAUCUCGGUUGAUGUACAAUAUUGCAACUGAAUUGAUCUUCCACCUUGAUCUUGCCCAAGAAGAAAGAGCACUAACCAAAGAAGAAAGGAAUUUAAGAGAUCUUCUGAAGAAGAAACUGUUGGGUUUUGCAGCUAUUGAGAGGAUCAAGGUUCGGCAAAGGUCUAGGCUAACUUGGAUUAAAGUUGGAGAUGCCAAUUCAAAACUCUUCCAGCUCAAGGCGAACGGAUGCAGACGCAAGAAUCACAUCCCUUCUCUGAUUGGGCUGGAAGGCGCUGUAGUUGAUAAGGUGCAUAAGGCCCGGGUCCUGUGGGACCACUUCAACAACCUGCUGGGAACUGUUGGACAACGCAAAUUUAAGCUGAAUUGGGAGUAUCUGCAGCUUCCUUCAUUCAACCUUGAGCACCUGGACGCCAUUUUCACCAUAGAGGAAUUAAAAAAGGCGGUUUUUGACUUACAUGCUGAGAAAUCCCCUGGCCCUGAUGGUUUCAUUGGGGGCUUUUUCAAAAAAUGCUGGGGUCUCAUCAAGAACGAUCUUCUGGAGGCCAUCAACCAGUUUUUUCAUCUGAGAGGCAAUACAUGGAAGCUGCCGAACAAUGCCGUUAUAGUGCUGCUACCAAAGAAAGGGAAUGCCGAUCGAGCAUCUGAAUUUUGGCCAAUUAGCCUCAUGCACAGUGUGGCAAAAAUUCUUUGCAAAAUCAUGGCCAAUAGGCUAGCUCCGGAGUUGCAACACAUGAUUUCUGCUAGCCAAAGUGCUUUCCUCAAAGGGCGUAGCAUUCAAGAUAACUUCCUGUUUGUCCAGAAUGUCAUUAGGAGGGCCUUCACAAGAAACUCACCGCUCAUUUUUCUUGAGCUGGAUAUUGCCAAAGCGUUUGACUCCGUGCAUUGGAGCUACAUGUUGGAAGUUUUGAAGGGUUUUGGCUUCGGACAGAGGUGGACUGACAUGAUUGCGUUGCUGCUCUCCACGUCCUCUUCCAGGGUCCUCCUCAAUGGAUGUCCGGGCAUGCCGUUUCUGCACCGAAGAGGGCUGCGGCAGGGUGACCCCCUUCACCCAUGUUGUUCAUUCUUGCAAUGGAGCCGCUGCAAAAGCUAA
rnacentral:rRNA from 1 species